UUUAGGGGGUUUUUGGGGGAUGUUUCUAGAGUUAUGUUCUAGUUGUUUGGUCCCUCAUUUGAGUCCACCUGUGUAGGUUCGGACCCGAGGAACCGAGGACCCCAGCAGUGAGUCAGUUGCCUCAGUCAGUGUCAGAGCUAGCCAGAGGUGAGUGGAAUAACUCUUAUGCUUUUAAAUAAAUAAAUCAGUUUUAGCAUGAUUCACGCAUCAUGAAUGCCAUGAGAUAUAAUAGGGUGCUUGCAUUAGAACUCACGAAUAUGUUGCAUUGCAUAAUAUGUUGUUGAUGUGGAUGAAUGUUGAAUGAUCCAUUAGCCCUCAUAUGUUAUGACGUGAUGAUAUGAUAUGGAAGUCCAGGUGUGGCCUGCACUACGCCCCUGG
rnacentral:lncRNA from 1 species